UACGUAGGGAGCAAGCGUUGUCCGGAAUCAUUGGGCGUAAAGCGCGCGUAGGUGGCUUCGUAAGUCCGUUGUGAAAGUCAAAGGCUCAACCUUUGAAAGCCGAUGGAUACUGCGGAGCUAGAGUACGGAAGAGGCGAGUGGAAUUCCUGGUGUAGCGGUGGAAUGCGCAGAUAUCAGGAGGAACACCAAUAGCGAAGGCAGCUCGCUGGGACGUUACUGACACUGAGGCACGAAAGCGUGGGGAGCGAACAGG
rnacentral:rRNA from 1 species